rnacentral:rRNA from 1 species
GCAAGACCUCGGCGGACGGCUCAGUAACACGCGGACAACCUGCCCUCGGGUGGGGGAUAACCUCGGGAAACUGAGGAUAAGACCCCAUAAGUCUGGAUCGCUGGAACGCCUCCAGGCUGAAAGCUCCGGCGCCCGAGGAUGGGUCUGCGGCCUAUCAGCUUGUAGGGGGUGUAACCGACCCCCUAGGCGUCGACGGGUACGGGCUAUGGGAGUAGUCGCCCGGAGAUGGAUUCUGAGACACGAAUCCAGGUCCUACGGGACGCAGCAGUCGCGAAAACUCCGCAAUGUGGGAAACCACGACGGGGGAACUCCCAGUGCGCGCACUUAGUGUGCGCUGUUCUCCCGUCUAAAAAACGGGAGAAGUAAGGGCCGGGUAAGACGGGUGCCAGCCGCCGCGGUAAUACCCGCGGCCCGAGUGGUGCUCAUUCUUAUUGAGUCUAAAACGUCCGUCGCCGGCUCGGUCGAUGCCUGGGUAAAUCGGAUCGCUCAACGGUCCGAAUUCCGGGUAGACCGCCGAGCUCGGGACCGGGAGAGGUGCGAGGUACGCCGGGGGUAGGGGUAAAAUCCUGUAAUCCUCGGCGGACCACCAGUGGCGAAGGCGUCGCACUAGAACGGAUCCGACGGUCAGGGACGAAGCCCAGGGGCGCAAACGGGAUUAGAUACCCCGGUAGUCCUGGGUGUAAACGCUGCAGGCUUGGUGUCGGGGGUCCUACGGGGGCGCCCGGUGCCGGAGCGAAGGUGUUAAGCCUGCUACUUGGGGA